CGCCGGCGCCUGUAUCCCCGCGAUCCAGCCUCAGGCUCGUGGACUAAAGUCCUCACAGGCCGGCGGGAGCGCGCGCACGCGUGGAGGUGGGGGGGGGGGGCGUGUGCAGAGAGGGGCACGCGAGCCGCGCAUGCGCAGCGGCAGGCGGCGGCGCUAGCCGAGCUGGGAGAUGGCGGCGGCGGCGGCGGCGGAGCGGAGCGUGUGAGAGCCGCCCGGGAGCCGCCGGCCCGGGCCCUGUGCGACCCCGACCCCGCCCGCCCGCCUGCCCGCCAUGGGCAACGAGGCCAGCCUGGAGGGCGGCGCUGGCGACGGGCCUCUGCCGCCCGGAGGCUCCGGCCCCGGCCCGGGCCCCGGUGCAGGGAAGCCGCCUUCAGCACCGGCAGGCGGAGGACAGCUCCCGGCCACAGGCGGGGCGCGGGCGACCGCCGGACCAGCGGGUCCAGGCCCCGGGCCUGCGGCUAGCCCGGGCAGUGUUCCCCGGAGACUGGACCCCAAGGAGCCCCUGGGUAGCCAGAGAGCAGCUUCCCCAACCCCGAAGCAGCCUUCUGCUACCACUCCCGGCCGCGAGAGCCCCCGGGAGACGAGGGCGCAGGGCCCUGCAGGCCAGGAGGCUGACGGCCCCCGCAGGACGCUGCAGGUAGACGGCAGGACGCAGAGAUCAGGGCGGUCCCCCUCUGUGUCACCAGACAGAGGCAGCACCCCCACAUCACCCUACUCCGUCCCCCAGAUCGCCCCCCUUCCCAGCAGCACGCUGUGUCCCAUAUGUAAGACCUCGGACCUCACGUCGACCCCCAGCCAGCCAAACUUCAACACCUGCACCCAGUGUCACAACAAGGUCUGCAACCAGUGUGGGUUCAACCCCAACCCUCACCUCACCCAGGUGAAGGAGUGGCUGUGUCUGAACUGCCAGAUGCAGAGGGCUCUGGGGAUGGACAUGACCACGGCGCCUCGCUCCAAGAGCCAGCAGCAGCUACACUCCCCGGGCCUGUCUCCUGCCCACUCCCCAGCCAAACAGCCCCUGGGGAAGCCGGAGCAAGAGAGAGCUCGGGGCCCAGGGGGACCACAGCCUGGCCCCCGCCAGGCCGAGACAGCCAGGGCCACCUCAGUGCCGGGGCCUGCCCCAGCUGCCGCUCCUCCAGAGGUGGGGAGGGUGUCUCCCCAGCCCUCUCUCCCCAUCAAGCCUUCCACAGCCGAGCCCAGGCCCCCGGCAGGAGAGGCUCCGGCCAAGAGUGCCACUGCAGUGCCCUCCGGGCCUGGUGCUGCUGAGCCAACCCAGGAGGGCCUCACUGGGAAGCUCUUUGGCCUUGGUGCAUCGCUGCUGACCCAGGCGAGCACCCUCAUGUCUGCGCAGCCUGAAGCGGACUCCCAGGGCCAGCCUGCUCCCAGCAAGGGGCCGCCCAAGAUCGUCUUCAGUGAUGCCAGCAAGGAGGCUGGCCCAAGACCCCCAGGCUCAGGGCCUGGGCCCGGGCCCGCAACUGGAGCCAAAACUGAGCCUGGAUCAGGGCCCAGAGCCCAGGCGAGAACUGGGGGAACCACCAGCCCAAAGCAUGGCAGAACAGAACACCAGGCAGCAUCGAAGGCUGUUGCCAAGCCAAAGACCACGCCGAAGGAAAGGGCCACCUGCCCACUGUGCCAAGCCGAGCUCAACGUGGGCAGCAAGGGCCCCGCCAACUAUAACACCUGCACCACCUGCAAACUCCAGGUGUGCAACCUGUGUGGCUUCAACCCGACGCCCCACCUGGUGGAGAAAACCGAGUGGCUUUGUCUGAACUGCCAAACUAAGCGGCUUCUGGAGGGCAGCCUGGGAGAGCCGACGCCCCUGCCGCUGCCUGCCUCACAGCAGCCCCCCUCGGGGGCCCCUCACCGAACAGCUGGAACAGCCCCUCCAAAACAGAAAGGGCCACAGGGGCCGGGCCAGCCAUCAGGCCCCCCACCUGCCAAGGCCACCCCCCAGCCCACCAAGGCCACCCCCCCACCCACCAAGGCCAGUCCCCAGGCCAAGCCCGCCAGGGCUUCUGAACCCAGCAGGACCCCGAGCAGCGCCCAGGAAAAGAAGACGGGAGUCCCAGCUAAAGCCGAGCCUGUGCCGAAGCCCCCUCCAGAGACCACCCUGCCCCCUGGGACUCCUAAGGCAAAGGCUGGGGUGCGGAGGACCGAACCCAGCACCCCCACCGCCAAGGCUGUUCCAGAAGCCCCCAAGGGUGGGGAGAGAGAGGAGCCAGGGGGCAAGCCUUACUCUCAGGACCUGUCUCGGAGCCCACAGAGCCUCAGCGACACAGGUUAUUCCUCUGACGGCAUUUCCAGCUCGCAGAGCGAGAUCACCGGUGUCGUGCGCCAGGAGGUGGAGCAGCUGGACAGCGCGGGGGUGACGGGGCCCCGCCCACCCAGCCCCUCGGAGCUCCACAAGGUGGGGGGCAGCAUGCGGCCUUCGCUGGAGGCCCAGGGCCCGGCCCCCAGUGGCGAGCGGAGCAGGCCGCCGAGCGGCAGUGCCAAGGAGCAGAAGCGGCGGCCCCACUCUUUGUCCAUCAUGCCUGAGGCGUUCAACUCUGACGAGGAGCUGGAGGAGAUCUUGGAGGAGGAAGAAGACUCCACGGAGUGGGGGCGCCAGGGGGAGCAGCAGGAUGCAGCGGAGUCCUCUGAUGACUUCGGGAGCCAGCUGAGGCACGACUAUGUGGAGGACAGCAGCGAGGGUGGCCUGUCCCCUCUCCCGCCCCAGCCCCCAGCCCGGGCGGCAGACCUGACCGAUGAGGAGUUCAUGCGGCGGCAGAUCCUGGAGAUGAGCGCUGAGGAAGACAACCUGGAGGAGGACGAGGCCGCCCCCACCGGGCCCGGCCCGGGCAAACAUGUCUCCCAGAAGGGUGGGCCCCGGCCCCGGCCCGAGCCCAGCCAAGAGCCAGGAGCGCUGCCCAAGAGGCGCCUGCCCCACAACGCCACCACGGGCUAUGAGGAGCUGCUGUCUGAGGGAGGCCCCGUGGAGGAUGUGGACGGCGCUGCUGGGGCCCUGCAGGGCGGGCUCCGCCGCUUCAAGACCAUUGAGCUCAAUAGCACAGGCAGCUACGGCCAUGAGCUGGACAUGGGCCCAGGUCCCGACCCCAGUCUGGACCGGGAGCCCGAGCUGGAGAUGGAGAGCCUGACGGGCUCGCCCGAGGACCGCUCCCGCGGGGAGCACUCAUCCACGCUGCCAGCCUCCACACCCAGCUACACAUCGGGCACCUCACCCACCUCCCUGUCCUCUCUGGAGGAGGACAGUGACAGCAGCCCCAGCCGCCGGCAACGGCUGGAGGAGGCCAAGCAGCAGCGCAAGGCCCGACACCGCUCACACGGGCCCCUGCUGCCCACCAUCGAGGACUCCUCGGAGGAGGAGGAGCUGCGGGAGGAGGAGGAGCUGCUGAGGGAGCAGGAGAAGAUGCGGGAGGUGGAGCAGCAGCGUAUCCGCAGCACGGCCCGCAAGACCCGGCGGGACAAGGAGGAGCUGCGGGCCCAGCGGCGGCGCGAGCGCUCCAAGACCCCCCCCAGCAACCUAUCACCCAUCGAGGACGCCUCGCCCACGGAGGAGCUGAGGCAGGCGGCUGAGAUGGAGGAGCUCCACCGCUCCUCCUGCUCCGAGUACUCGCCCUCACCUUCCCUCGACUCAGAGGCUGAGGCCCCGGAGGGGGGCCCUGGCCGGCUCUACAAGUCGGGUAGUGAGUACAACCUGCCCACCUUCAUGUCCCUCUACUCUCCCACCGAGACCCCCUCAGGCAGCGCCACGACCCCCAGCUCCGGCCGGCCCCUCAAGAGCGCUGAGGAGGCCUACGAGGAGAUGAUGCGGAAGGCCGAGCUGCUCCAGCGGCAACAGGGCCAGGCGGCAGGGGGCCGUGGGCCCCACGGUGGUCCCUCUCAGCCCGCAGCUCCCCGGGCCCAGGGUUCCUUUGAAUACCAGGACACCCCAGACCGUGACUAUGGCGGGGUUGCUCAGCCGGUUGCGGAGGGCACGCCAGCCGGCCUGGGAGCAGCCGUGUACCAGGAGAUCCUCCAGACGUCCCAGAGCAUCGCCCGCAUGCACCAGGCCUCCUCGCGGGAGCUGGCCUUUGCUGAGGACAAGAAGAAAGAGAAACAGUUUCUGAACGCCGAGAGCGCGUACAUGGACCCAAUGAAACAGAAUGGCGGCCCACUCACCCCUGGUACCAGUCCCACCCAGCUUGCUGCCCCCGUGUCUUUCGCCACCUCCACCACCUCAGACAGCAGUGGGGGCCGAGUCAUCCCUGAUGUCCGUGUGACUCAGCAUUUUGCAAAGGAGCCUCAGGACCCCGUCAAGCUGCACAGUGCUCCUGCCUCCCCCAGCUCCGCCUCCAAGGAAGUAGGCAUAGGCUUUGCCCAGGGCCCCGGGGCCUCGGCCUCCACAGCUGCAACCCCUGGUCUGGCUGGCCUGCCACGAGGGUACAUGGCUCCGACCUCCCCAGCAGCCUCUGAGCGUAGCCCUUCACCCUCUUUCGCUGGCCAUGGCUAUGGACAGAGCCCGGCCACUGCAAACUAUGGGUCUCAAACUGAGGAGCUACCCCAGGCCCCCCGUGGCCCAGCUGUCAGUGGGCGGGCUACCAGAGAGAAGCCCCUGGGCGUGAGUGAGGGUGAGAGUGGCCCCCCACAGACCUCCCGGGGAUAUCCCUAUUUUGCGGGCUCCAGCCCCCCUCUCUCUCCAUCUUCUCCCUCAGAGAGUCCCACAUUCUCCCCUGGCAAGCUGGGCCCAAGGGCCACUGCGGAGUUCUCUACACAGACGCCAAGCCCGACCCCUGCCUCGGACACGCCACGGAGCCCUGGCGCCCCUGCGCCGACACCCACGGUGGCUCAGGGCACACAAACGCCCCACCGACCCAGCACGCCUCGCCUGGUAUGGCAGCAGUCCUCUCAGGAUGGCCCGUUCAUGGUUAUCACCCUGGCAUCAGAUGCCUCCAGCCAGACCAAGAUGGUCCAUGCCAGUGCCUCCACUUCCCCAGUGUGCUCACCUGUUGACACCCAGCCCACCACCCACAGCUACAGCCAGACAACACCUCCAAGUGGGGCUCAGCCCCCCGAGCUGCCUGGGCCCCCUGGCUUCCCGCGGGCACCCAGCACUGGUGCAGAUGGGCCCCUGGCAGUGUAUGGCUGGGGCGCCCUGCCUGCCGAGAACAUCUCCUUGUGCCGGAUCUCCUCCAUCCCUGGAACGUCUAGGGUUGAGCCCGGCCCCAGGCCCCCGGGCAGUGCCGUGGUAGACCUUCGCACCGCCGUCAAGCCCACGCCCAUCAUCCUCACUGACCAGGGCAUGGACCUGACCUCUCUGGCCGUGGAAGCGAGGAAGUACGGCCUGGCUCUGGAUCCAAUCCCAGGACGCCAGUCAACCGCCGUGCAGCCUCUAGUGAUCAACCUCAAUGCCCAGGAGCAGACACAUGCCUUCCUCAGCACCGCCACCACCGUGAGCAUCACCAUGGCCUCCUCUGUGCUCAUGGCUCAGCAGAAGCAGCCUGUGGUCUAUGGAGACCCCUUCCAGAGCCGGCUUGACUUUGGCCAGGGUGCGGGGAGCCCAGUGUGCUUGGCCCAGGUCAAGCAGGUAGAGCAGGCUGUCCAGACCGCGCCAUAUCGUGGUGGGCCUCGGGGAAGACCCCGGGAGACUAAGUUUGCCAGGUAUAACCUGUCCAACCAGGUAGCACCUUUGGCCAGAAGGGACGUUUUGAUCACUCAGGUGAGCCCGGCGCAGAGUGUUGGCCUCAAGUCGGGCCCAGUGCCAGAGCCCGGUACUGAACCCCAUCGGGCCGCCCCCACAGAGCUGCGGUCGCACGCCCUGCCAGGCGCCAGGAAGCCACACACGGUGGUGGUGCAGGUGGGCGAAGGUGCAGCAGGCACCGUGAGCACCCUGCUCCCAGAGGAGCCGGCAGGGGCCCUGGACCUCACGGGCAUGAGGCCUGAGAGCCAGCUGGCAUGCUGUGACAUGGUCUACAAGUUCCCCUUUGGCAGCAGCUGCACGGGCGGCUUCCGCGCUGCCCCAAGCGCACCUGAGAGGAGUGUGGCAGAAGUUGCCCCACCUGGCCAAAGCAGCGGCCCCUUCUACAGUCCCCGGGACCCAGAACCUCCAGAGCCCCCCACCUACCGAGCGCAGGUGGUCGGGGGACCCGGCCCCCACGAGGAGCAGAGGCCCUACCCACAGGGCCUCCCCGGCAGGCUGUAUUCCUCUAUGUCCGACACCAAUCUGGCUGAGGCCGGCCUCAACUACCAUGCCCACAGGUUUGGGCAGCUCUUCCAGGGCCCAGGGCGAGACUCGGCCAUGGACCUCAGCUCCCUGAAGCACUCCUACAGCCUGGGCUUUGCAGAUGGCCGCUACCUCGGGCAGGGCUUGCAGUAUGGUUCAUUCACUGACCUGCGUCACCCCACAGACCUUUUGACUCACCCGCUUCCCAUGCGGCGGUACAGCUCAGUGUCAAACAUCUACUCAGACCACAGGUAUGGCCCACGGGGAGACACGGCUGGCUUCCAGGAGGCCAGCCUGGCCCAGUACAGCGCCACCACAGCCCGUGAGAUAAGCCGUAUGUGCGCAGCCCUCAACUCCAUGGACCAGUACGGAGGGCGGCACGGCAGCGGUGGUGGGGGCACCGACCUCAUGCAGUAUCAGCCCCAGCCCGGGCUCAGUGCCCCGCAGGGCCUGGCUCCCCUGAGACCUGGCCUCCUUGGGAACCCCACCUUCCCGGAGGGCCAGGGGAGUCCUGGAAACCUGGCCCAGUACCGGCCUACAGCCGGCCAGGCCGCAGCAGUCAGACAGCUGCUGCCAUCCACAGCCACUGUGCGGGCAGCCGAUGGCAUGAUCUACUCGACCAUCAACACUCCAAUUGCUGCAACACUGCCCAUCACCACGCAGCCUGCCUCAGUCCUGCGGCCCAUGGUGCGUAGUGGCAUGUACAGGCCUUACCCACCCGGUGGAGUCGCAGCCGUGCCGCUUGCCAGCCUGACGCGCCUGCCUGUGAUUGCCCCUCGCGUCCCUCUUGGGCCCACAGGGCUGUACCGAUACCCUGUACCAAGUAGAUUCCCCGCCCCUGCCAGUGUUCCACCCGCUGAGGGUCCCGUCUACCUGGGGAAGCCGGCUGUUGCCAAGGCCCCAGGGACUGGGGGGCCCCCCAGGCCAGAGCUGCCUGCUGGGGCUGCUCGGGAAGAACCCCUUUCCACAGCACCCCCUGCUGCUGCCAAGGAGGUGGGAGCAGCCCCAGCCCUGGGGGCGGGCCAGAAGCCGCAGGGAGAGGCCACUCCCGGGGGUGGCAGCGGGCCCCUGGGCCGGCCGGGGCUGGAGAGGGAGGAUGCCUUGCCGGAGGAGAGGCAGCGGAAACAGCAGGAGCAGCUGCUGCAGCUGGAGCGAGAGCGGGUGGAGCUGGAAAAGCUGCGGCAGCUGCGGCUGCAGGAGGAGCUGGAACGGGAACGUGUGGAGCUGCAGCGGCACCGUGAAGAGGAGCAGCUGCUGGUGCAGCGGGAGCUGCAGGAGCUGCAGACCCUCAAGCAUCACGUGCUGCAGCAGCAGCAGGAGGAGCGGCAGGCGCAGUUUGCCCUGCAGCGGGAGCAGCUGGCCCAACAGCGCCUGCAGCUAGAGCAGAUCCAGCAGCUGCAGCAGCAGCUGCAGCAGCAGCUGGAGGAACAGAAGCAGCGGCAGAAGCCACCCUUCCCGGUGGCCUGUGAGGCACCUAGCAGAGGGCCGCCCCCAGCCGCCCCGGAGCUGGCCCAGAACGGCCAGUACUGGCCACCCCUGACCCAUGCGGCCUUCAUCGCUGUGCCCGAGGGGUCCGGGCAGCCGCGUGAGCCCAUACCGCACCGUGGUCUCCCCAGCUCUGCCUCGGACAUGUCACUGCAGACGGAGGAGCCGUGGGAGGCGAGCCGCAGCGGCGGCCUCAAGAAGCGGCACUCCAUGCCACGCCUGCGGGACGCAUGCGAGCCGGAGUCGGCGCCCGAGCCCUGCGGGGUCAGGAGAAUCGCGGACAGCAGUGUGCAGACAGACGACGAGGAUGGAGAGGGCCGCUACCUCCUGACCCGACGGCGCCGGGCUCGGCGGAGCGCUGACUGCAGCGUGCAGACUGACGACGAGGACAGCGCCGAGUGGGAGCAGCCCGUGCGCCGCCGCCGGUCCCGUUUCUCCCGUCAUUCAGACUCCGGCUCUGACAGCAAGCACGAUGCGAUGGCCUCCUCCUCCACUGCUGCCCCUGCCGCAAGGGCCACUAGCAGUGUGGGCAUCCAGACCAUCAGUGACUGCUCCGUGCAGACGGAGCCUGACCAGCUACCCCGAGUCUCUCCAGCCAUCCACAUCACGGCUGUCACCGACCCCAAGGUGGAGAUCGUCAGGUACAUAUCGGCGCCCGAGAAGACUGGGCGUGGUGAGAGCCUGGCUUGCCAGACAGAGCCAGAGGGGCAAGCCCAGGGCGUGGCCGGGCCACAGCUCAUGGGGCCGACAGCCAUCAGUCCCUACCUGCCUGGCAUCCAGGUCGUCACCCCAGGGCCCCUGGGCAGAUUCGAAAAAAAGAAGCCGGAUCCCCUGGAGAUUGGAUACCAGGCCCACCUGCCCCCGGAGUCCCUCUCUCAGCUCGUGAGCCGCCAGCCUCCCAAGUCUCCCCAGGUCCUCUACUCACCAGUCUCCCCCUUGUCCCCACACCGGCUCCUGGACACCUCCUUUGCUUCCAGUGAGAGGCUGAACAAGGCUCACGUGAGUCCCCAGAAGCACUUCACAGCUGACAGCGCUUUCCGCCAGCAGACGCUGCCGCGCCCCAUGAAGACCCUGCAGCGCUCCCUGUCUGACCCUAAGCCCCUCAGCCCCACCGCCGAGGAGUCUGCCAAAGAGAGGUUCCCCCUCUACCAGCACCAGGGGGGACUGGGUAGCCAGGUGUCGGCGCUGCCGCCCAACGGCCUGGUCCGCAAGGUGAAGCGGACACUGCCCAGCCCCCCUCCAGAGGAGGCUCACCUGCCCCUGGCUGGCCAGGCUCCUCCCCCGCAGCUGUAUGCAGCCAGCCUGCUGCAGCGCGGGCUGGUGGGGCCCGCCGCUGUCCCCGCCACCAAGGCCAGCCUGCUCCGGGAGCUGGACCGGGACCUACGGCUGGUGGAACAUGAGUCCACCAAGCUGCGCAAGAAGCAGGCGGAGCUGGACGAGGAGGAGAAGGAGAUCGACGCCAAGCUCAAGUACCUGGAGCUGGGCAUCACCCAGCGCAAAGAGUCUCUGGCCAAAGAUCGGGGUGGCCGGGACUACCCACCCUUGCGUGGUCUCAGCGAGCAUCGCGACUACCUGUCUGACAGUGAGCUCAACCAGCUGCGGCUCCAGGGCUGCGCCACCCCGGCUGGCCAGUACGCGGAGUUCCCCGUCACUGCCGCUGCUGCCGCCGCUGCCACCACCCCUGCUACUCCCUCCGGCUCCGCUGCUUUCCAGCCGCCCCGGUUCCCACCUCCAGCGCCACUGUACCCUGCAGGCAGCGCUGGGCCAACUCAGAACGGAUUCGCAGCCCACCAGCCACCCACCUACCCCGGUCCCAGCACAUACCCAACACCUGCUUUUCCUCCUGGCACCAGUUACCCCGCUGAGCCUGGCCUGCCCAGCCAGCAAGUGUUCCGUCCCCCGGGCCAUUAUACAGCCCAGACGCCCCUGCCAACCACACAGACCACCCUUUUCCCAGCCCCGGCUGACAGCCGUGCCCCCCACCAGAAGCCACGCCAGACAUCACUGGCCGACUUGGAGCAGAAAGUGCCCACUAACUACGAGGUGAUCGCCAGCCCUGUUGUGGCCAUGUCCUCAACCCCAUCGGAAACCAGCUACAGCGGCCCUGGCCCCGCCGCCAGCAGCAGCUACGAACAGGGCAAGGCUCCCGAGCUGCCACGGGCCAGUGACCGCGGUGGUGUGAGCCUGAGCCCAGCCCCCAUCUACUCCUCCGACUCACACUACACCAGCCUGGAGCAGACUGUCCCCCGGAACUACGUGAUGAUCGACGACAUCAGUGAACUGACCAAGGACAGCACCUCCUCCACCGCCUCCGAAAGCCAGCGACUGGAGCCCCUGGGGCCGAGCAGCAGUGGGCGUCCAGCGAAAGAGCCAGGAGAACCAGGGGUCCUUGAGGGGUCCGCACUGCCCUGCUGCUAUACCCGAGGGGAGGAAGAAUCCGAGGAAGACUCUUAUGAGCCCCGUGGUAAGAGCGGCCACCACCGGGGUGUGGAGAGCAAUGGCCGACCAGCCAGCACGCACUAUUACGGCGACAGUGACUACAGACACAGCACUCGAGCAGACAAGUAUAGUCCAGGCCCUGCGGGGCCCAAGCACCCCUCCAAGAGCCUGGCCCCGGCUGCCAUCCCCUCAAAGCGCAGCAAGCACCGGAAGCCGGGCAUGGAGCAAAAGAUCUCCAAGUUCUCACCUAUCGAAGAGGCCAAGGAUGUGGAGUCAGACCUGGCUUCCUACCCCUCCUCUGCAGUCAGCAGCAGCCUGGCCUCUCGAGGCAGGAAGUUCCAGGAUGAAAUCACCUACGGGCUCAAGAAGAAUGUUUAUGAGCAGCAGCGGUAUUACGGGGUGUCCAGUCGGGACCCAGCAGAGGAGGAUGACCGCGUGUAUGGUGGGAGCAGCAGGUCCCGGGGGGCACCCGCAUACAGUGGGGAGAAGCUGUCCAGCCAUGACUUCGGGGGCCGGGCCAAGGGAUACGAGCGGGAACGGGAGACUGUGGAGCGAGUUCAAAAAGCGGGCUCCAAGCCCUCAUCUCUGAGCAUGGCCCACGGCCGGACCCGGCCCCCCAUGCGUAGCCAGGCCUCUGAAGAGGAGAGCCCUGUCAGCCCCUUGGGGCGGCCCCGCCCUGCUGGGGGCCCCCUUCCCCCCGGGGACACCUGCCCACCAUUUUGCUCCAGCCACUCCAUGCCCGACGUCCAGGAGCACGUCAAGGAGGGACCGCGGUCCCACUCAUAUAAGCGUGACGAGGGCUACAUCCUGGAUGAUUCCCACUGCGUAGUUUCCGACAGCGAAGCGUAUCACCUGGGCCAGGAGGAGACAGACUGGUUUGAUAAGCCCCGGGAUGCCCGCUCUGACCGGUUCAGGCACCACGGGGGCCACGCAGUCUCCUCCUCCUCCCAGAAGCGAGGCCCUGCCAGGCACGGCUACCACGACUACGAUGAGCCCCCCGAGGAGGGCCUGUGGCCACACGAUGAGGGUGGCCCUGGCCGCCACGCCUCAGCCAAGGAACACCGACACCACGGUGACCAUGGGCGGCACUCGGGCCGCCACGCCGGCGAGGAGCCGGGCCGGCGUGCUACCAAACCACACGUUCGGGACGUGGGUCGCCAUGAGGCCCGGCCUCACCCGCAGGCCAGCCCUGCCCCGGCCGUGCAGAAGAAAGGUCAGCCUGGGUACCCCAGCUCCGCCGAAUACUCACAGCCAUCCCGUGCUCCGUCAGCGUACCAUCAUUCUUCCGAAAGCAAGAAGGGCUCCCGGCAGGCCCACCCCGGGCCCGCGGCACUGCAGCCAAAGCUGGAAUCCCAACCGCAGCCGCAAGGCCGGCAGGCAGCCCCAGGGCCACAGCCGUCCCAGCCGCCGCCGUCCAGGCAGACGCCCUCGGCAACAGCGUCGCGCCAGCCGCAGACACAGCCGCAGCCACAGCAAGGUCUCGGGCUGCAGCCUCCGCAGCAGGCCCCAUCGCAGGCUCGGCUGCAGCAGCAGGGCCAGCCAGCUGCCCGGGGUCCGGCCCCUGCUGCCAGCCAGCCAGCAGGGAAGCCUCAACCAGGGCCCCUGACAGCCACAGGCCCCCAGCCAUCAGGACCACCACGGACAGAGCAGGCGAACAGCUCUAAAGGGACCGCCAAAGCACCCCAGCAGGGGAGGCCUCCUCAGGCCCAGCCGCCGCCAGGACCUGGCCCUGCAGGCGUGAAGGCUGGAGCCAAGCCUGGAGGGACCCCAGGGGCUCCUGCCAGCCAGCCCGGUGCUGAAGGGGAGAGCGUGCUCUCCAAGAUCCUCCCCGGUGGGGCCGCGGAGCAGGCCGGCAAGCUGACGGAAGCUGUGUCUGCUUUUGGCAAAAAAUUCUCCUCCUUCUGGUGACCAUGCCCUGCAGGGCUCUUGAAGAAAUGAAGGGAGAUGAUAUCAUUGCUGUGGAAAAAUCUCUGGAGCCAGAGGCCUGGGCGCAGCUCUGGACUCUGCGUAUAACACAUCUACAACCUGACAAACUUUCAGCCCAAAGACUCACAAGAGGUGGGACGUGGCUAUCGGGCCUCAGUUGAGGACAGGAUGUUUUCUAACAUCAGCUGCCGGGGUGAAGCAUCUGCUGGUCACGUGGGACCACCGGACCGGGGUACCCGUGACUGUCUUCCCAGAGACCCUGCUCUCCUUCGGGCGCCACCGUCAAGGCGCAGCCAUCGGUGGGAGGGAGAAACGCUCUCUGGAGACCCUGCCACACGGCAGUCUUGCUGCUCUUCCCACAGCUGCCCUCCGCGGCCCGGCCAACCCGGCCUCCAAUGCGUUAUACACAGAGUUGGGGCGCACGCUGCCUGUUUUUGACGGACGCUGCCCUCCCUCCACCAUGCCAGAAGUUUUUCCACAGCCUUGGAGAGGGGCUUUGACCGAGGGCUGGGGGCCCCGGGCUCCGUUUCCUUCACAUUCCAGCUGGCCCGGAUCCCUCCGUGGCCACAGGGCCCUGCCCCCCUCACCCUGUCCUCUGGGUGACUCCAGAGCAGGCGUCCACGUGGCUCGCGUGGGAUUGGGAAGAACUUUACAAACAUUAGGACCUAACACUGUCUCAUCGCUGAAAUCAGAGGCCAUAGCUCCGAAAAGCAGCAUGGGCGCCGGCUGAGGCUUCUCCCAGCCUGUGGGCGGCCGCGUGCUAGCACGCCCGCCGCCGUCUUCAAAGCCAUUCCCCCCAGUCAUCGUGAGCAUCCCAGCGGCCCCGCCAUUGUCUCGACCAGCCGGCUCCUCGUUCGUACACCUGGGGAUUUCUUUUGAUUUCAAGAACAGCCUUAAUCAUUUCAGUUUGAUUUAAGUGUAUACCUCAUAAACAUUGUUCUUUCGUUUCUCCCCCCACCCCUCCUUUCUCUCUUCCUUCUCUCGGCUCGCCUCCUUGCCUCUCCCCUCCACCACCACCUUGUGACUGAUGGUUUGGUUUCCUCUUUGCUCUGCCCCUGCUCAGCACAGGGAGAAUGUUGACUAAGAAGCAAUAGUGGGCAGCAGGCCACCAAGAGCACAAGCCCAGGGCGGGGUCUAGGGAGGCCCCUCAGCCCGCCUCUGUUUACCGUGGAACUCCAGUCCUUCUUAAGCCAUCAACAGUGGAUGUGCUCAGAGCAGAGGGGCCAGGGCUUCUGCCAGCUAAGUGAGAGAAGGGCCCAGAGGCCUGUGCUGGGGUGGGUGGCACUGUCCAAUCCACCCCAGUGGACUGGGCAGGGCUCCUCCCCGAGGCCCUUCCUUCUGGGGCCUCCUUUCAUCUUGGGCACAGCCGCAAGUCUCAUCUCUAACGUUCUAUGCAAUGAAAUAUAAACCCUCAAAGACAACUGUUAAUAUUUAUUAAAUUCCGUGUUAUGUAUAAGGAGUUAAUUGCGAAGAUGCAAUUGAGAAACUGGAUAGAUCAGCUCAUAUCCGACCCCUCGCUCCCUUCCCUCUCCCCUGCUCCCACCGUGUGCGUGAAGUUCUCAGUCUGUGGCAUGUUCGACCUGUGGCAGGACUCACUGCUGCCAGGCGAGUCACCGCCGGUCCCGCAGCGGAGCAUGCACAGCUCGCAGCCUCUUUGCACGAUCUCAUCCAUUUUAAAUGCUCGACCCUCUUGCUUGGAGUUCUUUUUGUCUCAGACCCCCUCCUUCAGGAGUGCUUCUAGCUGACUUCUGCACGAGCUAGUGAGGACAGCCGGAAUUGCUGCCUGAGCAUGCCAGGCCGUGGGCCCGGCAGUACAAGACCCCACACACCCUGUGGGUUUCUCUGACCAAGACGUCUCCGGGGAGACACGUGGUGGGAGCCCACACAGGAUGUGUGCACAUGAACAUUUGGAAGGUUGGCUGUGGGAUUUCCAUCUGUAAGUUGCCCCCUGCCCCUACCCUGGCCCUGGGCCAGAGACAUCUGGCUACCCCUUCCCAGCGGGGCAGUGUUCAAGGGCAGAGCUGGGCUGCCUUUGCAGCCAGAGAGACAGAAGCCAAGAGUGGGGCCUGUCUGUGUCCUAGGACCCCAGCUCCUGACUGCGCCUGCUCUGUGCCUCUCCUCUGGCUUGUAAGCUCCAAGGUGUGUGAGCCGGGAGAUCUAGGCUGGGACUGGAGGCCAGAGGGUGCUCAGGAAAGGCUGGACCUUUGCAUUUGUGGCGUGGACAGCUGACAGAGUCACUUUGCAUCAGAGUGGGUGUUCCCAUAGACAGUGGCUUCAAGCGGAGUUUUUUGGGAAGCAUCUCAAUAACAAAACUUCCAGAAGGUUCUGUGGUGACACUCUCUGCAUCUGUCCCCAGGACCUAAACACCCCACCAGCCCUCAUCUCUGGAGCCUCAGCAUGCCACUGCUCAUGACUGAGCCAAGUGUGCAGCAGGCACCCGACCCCUCCAGGCCUGGCCUUCCUCCAGAGCUUGCACCAUGCAUUUCUCAGGGGUCCGCAUUUCUUCUUCUUUCCAAUAAGGUCUACACACCCUUUCAGAGAGGGAUCCUGGCCCACCUCUGGCAGCUGUGGAUGAGAUAGGAGGCUGUUACCCGCUUUGUUGGGCCCAGGCCGUGCCCUCCUGGAUUUGGGCUUCAUCCAUCCAACGGGACACCUGCCUCAUUGCAGACAGCAGGCCUGGGCUAUGUGAGGCCAUCUGUUUGAGGGCUGAGGGAGGCCAUCAUCUGGCCCCUCUGACCACCCAGGGCCAGGUUUUUGUGAGAUGUGCCUAGUGGCUGGAUACGUAUGUGAGGGACUAAUGCAGUGAGCCUCCUCACAGAAGGCCAAGGGACGGGACCAGAAGCAGGGAACAGGCAGGGAGAUGACAGCAGGCCAGCCUCCAUCAAGGCUAGUUUCAGGCUCUCACACAUUGACUUUUCAGCAAAUCUCCUUUCUGUUCAAGCUCUCUGAGUUGGACAUUUCUGACAUCUGCCAUUCCCCACCCCUCAACGUAUCCACAGGACACAUCUGUACCAUCACCCCCUGUGAAGGUGGCUGGAGCAGGCCUCUGGGCCACAGGUGUGCUGGCCCUUGUGUAGAUACAGCUGUGACUCGGGGGACCAGAGGCUGAGGGACCAGCGUUCGAUGCCUUGGGUGCUGGGGAGCACCAGGCACAUCUCCACACAGGCACGGGGAUGUCUCUGGGAAGCAGUCCAGGCCUUCUCUAUACCCUCCCCCAACCCAGUGUCAUGAGUAAGGGCACUGCCCGCUCUGUCUACCUGAGGGCCCAACGCAUUCACAGCGACAACCCCUGUCCCACCAUCGCUUAGUCCUUGGGAAGGCUGUGGUCUCAGGGCCCAUGGUGAGAGGGCAGCAGUGGCAGCAACCAUGUCCUGUCUUCUGGAGCCUGUGGGGAGUUUUCCAGGCCGAUCCUUUGCCAUGGCAACAAGGCCCUGGUCUCUUGGCCCUUCCCUUGCCCUGGUGCCCCCUCCCCCCAUUCUGUAAAUACUUGUCAUCGUGGACUCCGACAGGGUCAGAGGGACAGGCCUGAUCAACUGAAACGCCUCAAAGAUACCAUUUCUGUCUCCCUGGGUACCAGCAGCCCUGUUGCCAUGUGCACUGGGGUGGCGCGGGAGAGCCGUGGAAGUCGUGAGAUUAUUGUGUGUGUGCAUGUGAACAAGCGUGUGAGUGUGUGUGUGCGUGUCUGCCUCAUUCGGCCUCUGGGAGCCAACAAGCCCAUCCUCUCUUAGAGCAGUGCCCUGGAGAGCGGUGGCCGCCCCACGCCUUUCCUCUGCUAGCUUCCAUGUCUUGUUUUGGCUCCCCCCACACACUCCUUCCCUGCCUCCCUUCUUUCCUCUCUUCCCUUCUUUCCUUCUCUCCUUCUUUCUUUGAGGGGGGAAGAGUGCUGUACAAAGUCAAACAAACAAGUUUACAGUUGUAAGUGCAAUGACCCGAGUCCUCCACGUGACCUUGUGAACCGUGUGCCGUCCUCCUGUGCUCUGUGAGAACUCGUGGUACUUCAGUGUCCCUCUCCCUGUAUUGUGACAAGGUAAUUCUGUGGUAUCAGAAUAAAAGGACUUGAUAUAAACAACCUA